CUUGUGCGCACCGGCGGACGGCUCAGUAACACGUCGGUAACCUACCCUCGGGAGGGGGAUAACCCCGGGAAACUGGGGCUAAUCCCCCAUAGGCCUGAGGUACUGGAAGGUCCUCAGGCCGAAAGGGGCUCUGCCCGCCCGAGGAUGGGCCGGCGGCCGAUUAGGUAGUUGGUGGGGUAACGGCCCACCAAGCCGAAGAUCGGUACGGGCCAUGAGAGUGGGAGCCCGGAGAUGGACACUGAGACACGGGUCCAGGCCCUACGGGGCGCAGCAGGCGCGAAACCUCCGCAAUGCGGGCAACCGCGACGGGGGGACCCCCAGUGCCGUGGCAUCGCCACGGCUUUUCCGGAGUGUAAAGAGCUCCGGGAAUAAGGGCUGGGCAAGGCCGGUGGCAGCCGCCGCGGUAAUACCGGCGGCCCGAGUGGUGGCCGCUAUUAUUGGGCCUAAAG
rnacentral:rRNA from 1 species